UAGAAUGGGUAGAGGGAAAAUUAUUUUUUCUACCCCACAUAGAUCAUUUUUAUUUCAUUAUACAUAUGGUAAAAGUGAGAUUCAUGAAGUUUGCCAAGAAUUACAUUUUUUCUAAUUGGUAGACCCAAAACCACAUCUUCAUAAAAAGUCUGUUCUUUCCUUACUAUUAUAUUAGUUCUGUCUGUCAGAAUUAAGUCCUAACAUUUAGAAUGAUCGUUCUUGUUGUGGUUUCCAUUUAACAAGAGAUAAAAUUAUCUGUGAGUCUGGCCAAAUUUUAAGGAGAAUUUCCACUUUAAGUAGAAAAAGACUUGAGCUUGUGUCAGGAUAUUUGAAGUUGUUUAAUGCUAUUAUGAUUUUCCUUUGGUUUAGUUUUCUCAUCUCCAUUAGAAAAAUAUCAUCCAUAUCAUUUACCCCACUGACUAGUGUAUAGUGAACAGGUCCUUUCAGAAGAAUAAAUUACAGAUCAGAAGUUUAUAUUAUAAGCAAAAAAAAUCAGGAAAAAGGAAUUUAAUUGUCACCUUAAUAUCAUUCAUAGCAAACAUGUAUAACCUAGAAGCUUCCUGCUGUCUCUAUUUUCUGCCUUCAGUAACCCUGUUUGCAUUUAACACUGGCCCAGUCCUCCCACUCUCACCACUCAGCUAUCAAAAUCCCUCUCAUCACCGAAGACCUAGUUCAAAUGCACCCUUGUUUCCCAAGCUUUCCCUAAUACCUUUCUUCCUUCCCGAAAUGAGGGAAGAAUCUAUUUCCUGUUUUUCUGUAACAUGUUGCUUGACUCUUACAGCAGAGUCACAAGUUGUAGUUGAUCAAUUAUUAGUUAUUUGCAAAAGUCUCUUACUUGUCUUUUAAGAAUGACCCUAGUGUCCUCCAAAAAAAUUUAGCUUACUUCUUCAUCCUUAAUAACAUCUCAAAAAGAGAAAACAUGGGUGAACCAAAAGAAACAUUACCACUUCUGUGUGACUUCUUUUUUGUCCUAUGUACUCUGAAUUAUGUUCCUGUUGAUGUGGAAAAAGCAAUUAGCCUCUUAGCAUUUUUAGCAUGUGCUUAGUACACCAGCAGAAGAAUAUUUUGGAGAAAAAUUAUUAAUUGAAAUUUUAAAACAUAAUACAGGUAGUCAAUAUGGGGGAAAAAUCCACCUCUGGAUAAUUCUCUAUACCAAGUUCGUAAUUUAGUAUUACUUGUGAGUUAUGCAUGGAUAGGGGUGAGGGGAGAAGUAAGGGCUAGAAAUGAGACCUUUAGGUCUCUGAAGAUAUUAAUUCCUCCCUGAUUUGCACUUGUGGGUUCACAGAUUUCCAUUCAGUUUAUCUCAUUGCUGUACUCCUCACUUUCUCUCCUAUUAGAUUGUCAGUGUGGCUUUUCUCCUCCCUCUACCCCAUGAACAAAAUAAAUUCUUUGGUUACAUCAUUCACUGGAUCCAUGUCCUAUGACACUGUAUUUGUUUGCAUAUGUUAGUAUUCACAGCUCACUCCAUUCAGUACCAGUGUGCAGGGCAGUUGGACAUUGUUUAGUUCUCUAGCACAGAACUGAAGUGGCCUUGUGGCUGAGACAGACACGUAGAAUGACCUGCUCUUACGGACCAUCUUGUCACGUUUGGAGUUGCUCUGCUAGGCUGCCGUUGUCAUCUGGUUUCGUGUCAUUAGAGUUCACAUGAUAUGAUUACCCUAAGUGAUAUUUUGACUUCCCCUAUGGAUUGGAGAUUGGCUUCCUGGCACCUGCUGGACAGGCUUGACAUUUAAAACAGGGGCUGUGAUUGUGAACCUGGACAUCAUGACACAGGUUAAAAGCUGGAGAAGACUGAUUAGUCAGCCCACGUCUCCUAAGAUCUGCAAGUUACCACUGUCAACAGAAACAAUGUGCUCUUUCCUUCAGACAGGGGAAUUGAACAGCCCCUGUGCAUCAGGUACAGUCGCUGUAGUUUAGCAGUUAGCAUAAGGGUCGUCCUUUUGAAAAGAAUGUACAAAUUUGGCACAGCUUCAGUUUCCUGAGGUUCUCGGUAAUCUGACCUCUGAAUAAGUUUUCUUACAUAAAAUGCGAAAUGCUGUCCUUGCUAUUAGAGAUUAGUGAGGAGUUAAGUGGAUAAUCUUAGAUUUUGCAGGAUUUUGAACUGUUGGCAAUAGCUUUGAUGUGGUAAUCCACAAUACAGACAAAAUACUUUUUGCUAGAGAUAUUUUUAAUAUGUCCAGAGAUAUAUGAUUUUACAGUUUUAGUAGUUCAUGAAUAAACAUCUGGUAAUUACUGUUAAUAAACCAAACAAAUGCCAUGAACUCCACCCCCGUUCUUUUUUUAGGAUGUCAAUAGAAUAUUUAGAUAUUAAAAUAUUUUAAAUUAUGUAAAGAAUAUUCCAAAAGAUUAAAACAGCAUAUGUCUUCAUGAAAUAGAUAUACAGUAAAUGGAUAUAUGCUUUUUAGUAUCCAGUGCAAAUAAUAGAUCAUUUCACCAAUAUAUUUUGGAAAAAUCUAGUAUUUUUGACUGUCUUUUAAAUGACAAAACAUUGUUGUCACAUGGUUCAAUCAAAUUCAUUAGUAAAAUUUUGUCAGUAAAGGCUUUCUGCCAGAACUUCUAAAUGGACAUAUUCUGUCAUAUCAGGUAUUAUGAAAUUAUUCAGGGUUCUUAAUUUAUGUUGACCAAAGUUUUGAAAUCAAAAAUUCAAAAUGUGUUUUGUGCUUAAAAUAACUGUUUAACAUGUAUAAAAUAAUACAAACUUACUAUUUCUUCAAGAAUUGUGAAAGGAUAAAAUUACAAUUCAGAUUCUACCUAAAUUAACAUAAAUUCUAAUCAGUAUAGUUAAGUAUAAUGGGGUAAUAGCCCUGUCUGAUGUAAUAAAAAGGCGGCCAUGCUUUUUUUUAUGCAAUGUGUUAAAUCAGCUUUAAGGCGAUACAUAAUUCAUCGUUUUUACUUUUUUUAAAUCUAUAAAAUAAAGAUAUUUGUGAUUAAAAAAAAAAGAAAUACAAGCCUACUACUCUGCCUCAGUAAGAAUAUGCAGUAAGCUUUUGAGAUCUGUUGUCACAUCACUGACUAUCCAAAGUGACAAUGGAUAAGAUCAAAUAAAAUCGAUGUACAUGAUACUAUUCUUGUAUUUUUCUGUGUACAUUUCAUAGCUUCUAAUACUCUUUCUUUAUAAUCCUCAGAUAAAAGAUUGAGUUGUUAUUAAAAGGAUUGUUGUUACUUUCCUGAGAUGAAAUAGGUGGCCUACAGAUGCAUGACAAUUAUAGCAGCAUGAGCAUGAGGGACUUAGCAAUGUGGAGCGUAUUCCAGCGACAAUCUUUUAAAGAAUUCCCUGGGAGUAGAUGCCUCAAGAAAAAAAAUUGCAGUAAGAAAAAUGAACAAGAAUUUUAUAGCUUUUAUAUGUGACCUUUAAAGAGCAAAUAGUGAAGAUUUUUUAACCAAUUGAAAACACAAAAUAAAUUGUGACGAUUUAAAGCUAUUCUCCAAAAGCCUUUCUUGAAUUAAUUAGAUGUCUGAUUUUAUCAUAUAAUUUCUCACAGUGGUCAAUAAUCUCUAGCUCAUUUGUCUGUCCUCCCUGCUGGAGUAUCAGCGUACACAGGGCAGGUUUCAUCGCUAAUUCAGCAUCACAUAUUCCCAAUCACAAUCACAGUGCCUGGGCACUCAUUACAUAUUUAUAGAAUGAAUUCAAUGGGAAAUAUAUUAGUAUUAUAGUUAAACAAGGGUAUAUGUGUGUAAAUUUGAGUAUGAGUACCUUUUUUGUUUUCUCUACAAAUGAUUCUUUUGGGAAAUUAUGCUCAGGCUGUUUGGUGUGGUUUAACGUUCUUUUGCUUAAGAACAUAUGAAAAGUAGGUUUGAAACUGGCAGCAGUAAAAGUCAUUCUUACUUUGUAUUAUAAAUGGAAAGGAAGAGUUUUUGAUUAUUUUUUGUGAUGAUGAUGUGACUGCUUAUUCCUAACAGUUGUAGUGAACUGGAAAAACAGAAACAAACAAAAAACGAAGCAUGGGACCAUUAAAAAAAUUUGACAAUUUGAUAACUUACACUAUCUUAAUCACCUAGGAAAAGAUUUCUGUUAUAUAUUUGGAAAUCUACUGGCCUUUUGUACACUGUGGCUUAUACUUUAAAUAUAAAUUUUCUUGCUAGAAUUUGAAACUAUAUUCACAAAAAUGUCAGCGAAUGAAUGUAUAAGAAUGAGGGGACUUAUAUUAUUAUGUAGCGAUAUUAGGGUACAGCGAAAAAUUAUUUCUGACUAUCUUGCUUAAAUGAUUUCAGAACAUUAUCUACAAUAUUUUAACAAUCUUUAAGAUUGUUUACUUUUAUAAGUAUUUACACAUUUUCAAUGAUUCUAUACCCCUGUAUCAAACUUUAGUAUAAAGUAUGCGUACUCUAAUAUUAAUUGAGAUAUCAUUUUGAGAGUA